rnacentral:misc_RNA from 1 species
AAGUCGUAACAAGGUUUCCGUAGGUGAACCUGCGGAAGGAUCAUUAACAAAAAGAUGUAAAAUAUAUACAAAAUUAUAUUUUGUAUAUGUUUUCGACACUUUGUGCACAACUCUUUUUAUACUAUAUAUUAUUUUUCACAAAAAAAUAGAAUACAACUUUUAACAAUGGAUCUCUUGGCUCUU